UGGGGAAUUUUGGACAAUGGGCGCAAGCCUGAUCCAGCCAUGCCGCGUGAGUGAAGAAGGCCUUCGGGUUGUAAAGCUCUUUCAGCCGGGAAGAAAUCGUACGGGUUAAUACCCUGUGCGGAUGACGGUACCGGCAUAAGAAGCACCGGCUAACUACGUGCCAGCAGCCGCGGUAAUACGUAGGGUGCGAGCGUUAAUCGGAAUUACUGGGCGUAAAGCGUGCGCAGGCGGUUUGUUAAGAUAGGCGUGAAAUCCCCGGGCUCAACCUGGGAACUGCGCUUAUGACUGGCAGGCUAGAGUACGGCAGAGGGGGGUGGAAUUCCAGGUGUAGCAGUGAAAUGCGUAGAGAUGUGGAGGAACACCAAUGGCGAAGGCAGCCCCCUGGGUCGAUACUGACGCUCAUGCACGAAAGCGUGGGUAGCAAACA
rnacentral:rRNA from 1 species